GACGAACGCUGGCGGCGUGCUUAACACAUGCAAGUCGAACGAAAAUAUCAAGCUUGCUUGGUUGAUUAGUGGCGAACGGGUGAGUAACACGUGAGUAACCUGCCCCUUACUUUCCUGGAUAACUGCUCGAAAGGGUAGCUAAUACGGGAUAUUCUGACCAGCCUGCAUGGGUUGGUUUGGAAAGGUUGUUUUUCUGGUAAGGGAUGGGCUCGCGGCCUAUCAGCUUGUUGGUGGGGUGAUGGCCUACCAAGGCUUUGACGGGUAGCCGGCCUGAGAGGGUGGACGGUCACACUGGGACUGAGAUACGGCCCAGACUCCUACGGGAGGCAGCAGUGGGGAAUAUUGCACAAUGGGCGCAAGCCUGAUGCAGCGACGCCGCGUGAGGGAUGAAGGCCUUCGGGUUGUAAACCUCUUUCGUCAGGGAACAAGGCACUGCUUUUUUGGUGGUGUUGAGGGUACCUGGAUAAGAAGCGCCGGCUAACUACGUG
rnacentral:rRNA from 1 species